AGCAUCUAACACCAGCAUCUUCUCUAAAAGGCUCAAUGCUGGCUCAAUGGAGAGAAGAGACAUUCACACACAAAAAUACUUCAAGCAUCAAGAGUUUAUUCCAUGUCUGAACAUUUCUCAUGUUUCAAGAAAACCCACUGUGUGUUAAAAGCUACAAGAUUGGGAGGAAGCAUUUAGGAUUUCCUGGAUUUGCUAUUUUUUUUCACUUCAGGAAGUGAGUUUGUGGUUUGUUUAAAUACAACACAUAACCUGCACAUUUGCAGCCCCCACUAUCUGAAAUGGAGGAAGGUAUUCAUCAUGAAAGGAUACGAUCAUUGCCUUUGAAGAGUGGCCUUCCUGUUAUCAUCUCAGCCAUUAUACAGCC